GACGAACGCUGGCGGCGUGCUUAACACAUGCAAGUCGAGCGGAGAUGAGGUGCUUGCACCUUAUCUUAGCGGCGGACGGGUGAGUAAUGCUUAGGAAUCUGCCUAUUAGUGGGGGACAACAUUCCGAAAGGAAUGCUAAUACCGCAUACGUCCUACGGGAGAAAGCAGGGGAUCUUCGGACCUUGCGCUAAUAGAUGAGCCUAAGUCGGAUUAGCUAGUUGGUGGGGUAAAGGCCUACCAAGGCGACGAUCUGUAGCGGGUCUGAGAGGAUGAUCCGCCACACUGGGACUGAGACACGGCCCAGACUCCUACGGGAGGCAGCAGUGGGGAAUAUUGGACAAUGGGGGGAACCCUGAUCCAGCCAUGCCGCGUGUGUGAAGAAGGCCUUAUGGUUGUAAAGCACUUUAAGCGAGGAGGAGGCUACUGAGACUAAUACUCUUGGAUAGUGGACGUUACUCGCAGAAUAAGCACCGGCUAACUCUGUGCCAGCCGCCGCCGUAAUAC
rnacentral:rRNA from 1 species